GCACUGGUGAGUAGUCCCACAAUAGGACGAAACGGCCGUCCAGUGC
rfam:Schistosoma haematobium scaffold799_29, whole genome shotgun sequence.